GGUCCUGUAGUGUAGUGGUUUAUCACUUAGGAUUUUGACCUCAAUUUCCUAUAACCCAGGUUCGAACCCUGGCAGGACCU